rnacentral:lncRNA from 1 species
GGGAUUGACCCCUCUAAAUAAGUAGGAGUUAAUACAUCAGUAUAUUUUAAUUUAGUAAAAUUUUGAUCAGGAUAAUCCAUGUGAUGGAUUUGAAAGGUUAAAAUAUAAUGUGGUCGAUUAUAUUAGGGUUGACAGUUAAACUCUAGAUCACGUUGAGCAUUUGGGUCAAAGGGAUGAAUUAUACGAUAACCAUACGCCGGU